UCAAGCUACUAAGGGCAUACGGUGGAUGCCUAGGCGCCAAGAGCCGAAGAAGGACGCGGUAAGCUGCGAAAAGCCACGGGGAACUGCAAGCAAGUAUUGAUCCGUGGAUAUCCGAAUGGGGAAACCCGGCCAUCGUCAUGGAUGGUCACCCGCAAGGGAGGGAACCUGGGGAACUGAAACAUCUAAGUACCCGGAGGAAGAGAAAUCAAACGAGAUGCCCACAGUAGCGGCGAGCGAAGAGGGCAGAGCCCAAACCGAGAAGCUCCGGCUUUUCGGGGUUGAGGACCGGCAGAAUCGAAGUCAGGCCUAGUUGAAUUACCUGGAAAGGUAAGCGAGAGAGGGUAAAAGCCCCGUAGACGAAAGGCAGAGCAGAGAGGCCGAGAUCCAGAGUACCACGAAGCACGAGGAAUUUUGUGGGAAGCAGGGGGGACCACCCUCCAAGGCUAAAAACUACUUGGCGACCGAUAGCGCAUAGUACCGUGAGGGAAAGGUGAAAAGAACCCCGGGAGGGGAGUGAAAUAGUACCUGAAACCGUAUGUCUACAAGCAGUCGAAGCGAAAGCGACGGCGUGCCUAUUGAAGAAUGAACCAACGAGUUAUCUGCACUAGCGAGGUUAAGUGGAAGACACGGAGCCGCAGCGAAAGCGAGUCUUAAGAGGGCGCUAGUUAGUGUAGGUAGACCCGAAACCGCAGUGAUCUACCCAUGUCCAGGUUGAAGCGCAGGUAAAAUUGCGUGGAGGACCGAACCGGUGAGCGUUGAAAAGCUUUCGGAUGAGAUGUGGGUAGGGGUGAAAUUCCAAUCGAACGCGGAGAUAGCUGGUUCUCCCCGAAAUAGCUUUAGGGCUAGCCUGAGGUAGUAAGUAUAGGCGGUAGAGCACUGAUCGGGCUAGGGGCCGUAAAGGUUACCGAACCCUGUCAAACUCCGAAUGGAUAUACUGUAGAGCCUUGGAGUCAGACUACGAGUGAUAAGAUCCGUGGUCAAAAGGGAAACAGCCCAGACCACCAGCUAAGGUCCCCAAUGUCGUACUAAGUGGAAAAGGAUGUGGGGUUUCAUAAACAACCAGGAUGUUGGCUCAGAAGCAGCCACCAUUUAAAGAGUGCGUAAUAGCUCACUGGUCGAGAGACCCUGCGCCGAAGAUUCCCGGGGCUAAAGUACGAAACCGAAGCUGUGGCUGUAUACGUAAAGUAUACGGGGUAGGGGAGCGUUCCCAUAGGGUAGAAGUCGAACUGGAAGGUUCGGUGGACUUGUGGGAAGUGAGAAUGUUGGUAUGAGUAGCGAAAAGAAAGGUGAGAAUCCUUUCCACCGAAAGCAUAAGGAUUCCUGAGCAACGAUCGUCGUCUCAGGGUAAGUCGGGACCUAAUCCGAGGCAGAGAGCGUAGGAGAUGGACAACUGGUUGAUAUUCCAGUACCGGUAGUAAUUGUUUGAGCAAUGGAGUGACACAGAAGGGCAGGCAAGCAUGCGAAUGGAAGAGCAUGUGUAAGCGUGUAGGGUGGUGCAUAGGCAAAUCCGUGCACUGAAAGCCUGAGGCGUGAUGCGGAGUGAGCAGAGAUGCGAGCGAAGUUGUUGACCCCACACUGUCGAGAAAAGCUUCUAGUGAGAGAGCUACCGCCCGUACCGUAAACCGACACAGGUAUGCGGGGAGAGAAUCCUAAGGUGCGCGGGAGAACCCUCGUUAAGGAACUCGGCAAAAUGUACCCGUAACUUCGGGAUAAGGGUAGCCACUGUUGUGAAGUCCCAUGCGGAUGGAGCAUAGAGUGGUCGCAGAGAAGAGGCCCAAGCGACUGUUUACCAUAAACACAGGUGCCUGCUAAAGCGAAAGCUGACGUAUAGGUGCUGACACCUGCCCAGUGCCGGAAGGUUAAGGAAGGAUGUUCGGAUUAGUCCAAAGCAUUCGACUGAAGCCCCGGUGAACGGCGGCCGUAACUAUAACGGUCCUAAGGUAGCGAAAUUCCUUGUCGGGUAAGUUCCGACCCGCACGAAAGGUGUAACGAUUUGGGCACUGUCUCAACGAGGGACCCGGUGAAAUUGAAAUACCUGUGAAGAUGCAGGUUACCCGCGACUGGACAGAAAGACCCCAUGGAGCUUUACUGUAACCUGACAUUGGGUUUUGAUACAUUACGUACAGGAUAGGUGGGAGGCAUGGAAAGCUGGACGCUAGUCUGGCUGGAGCCGACGUUGGGAUACCACCCUUGAUGUAUUGAAAUUCUAACCGCGAGAGUAACGAAAUCCGGGACAGUGUCAGGCGGGCAGUUUGACUGGGGCGGUCGCCUCCGAAAGAG
rnacentral:rRNA from 1 species